CCUACGGGGGGCAGCAGUGGGGAAUAUUGGGCAAUGGGCGCAAGCCUGACCCAGCAACGCCGCGUGAAGGAAGAAGGCUUUCGGGUUGUAAACUUCUUUUAAGGGGGAAGAGCAGAAGACGGUACCCCUUGAAUAAGCCACGGCUAACUACGUGCCAGCAGCCGCGGUAAUACGUAGGUGGCAAGCGUUGUCCGGAUUUACUGGGUGUAAAGGGCGUGCAGCCGGAGAGACAAGUCAGAUGUGAAAUCCACGGGCUCAACCCGUGAACUGCAUUUGAAACUGUUUCCCUUGAGUGUCGGAGAGGUAAUCGGAAUUCGUGGUGUAGCGGUGAAAUGCGUAGAUAUAAGGAAGAACACCAGUGGCGAAGGCGGAUUACUGGACGAUAACUGACGGUGAGGCGCGAAAGCGUGGGGAGCAAACAGGAUGAGAUACCCCUGUAGUC
rnacentral:rRNA from 1 species